GAUACCCAGCAUCUCCACCAG
rnacentral:miRNA from 1 species